rnacentral:rRNA from 1 species
CGGCGUGCUUAACACAUGCAAGUCGAACGGUGAAGCCCAGCUUGCUGGGUGGAUCAGUGGCGAACGGGUGAGUAACACGUGAGCAACCUGCCCCUGACUCUGGGAUAAGCGCUGGAAACGGCGUCUAAUACUGGAUACGAGACGUGAUCGCAUGGUCGACGUCUGGAAAGAUUUUUUGGUUGGGGAUGGGCUCGCGGCCUAUCAGCUUGUUGGUGAGGUAAUGGCUCACCAAGGCGUCGACGGGUAGCCGGCCUGAGAGGGUGACCGGCCACACUGGGACUGAGACACGGCCCAGACUCCUACGGGAGGCAGCAGUGGGGAAUAUUGCACAAUGGGCGCAAGCCUGAUGCAGCAACGCCCGUGAGGGAUGACGGCCUUCGGGUUGUAAA